rnacentral:rRNA from 1 species
CCUACGGGUGGCAGCAGUGGGGGAUAUUGCACAAUGGGGGGAACCCUGAUGCAGCGACGCCGCGUGGGUGAAGAAGUGUCUCGGCGCGUAAAGCCCUGUCAGCAGGGAAGAGAAUGACGGUAACCGGAGAAGAAACCCCGGCCAAACAAGGGGCCAGCAGCCGCGGUAAUACGUAGGGGGCAAGCGUUAUCCGGAUUUACUGGGUGAAAAGGGGGCGUAGACGGCAAGGCAAGUCAGAAGUGAAAGCCCAGGGCCCAACCACGGGACUGCUCUUGAAACUGGUUAGCUGGAGUACGGGAGGGGUAAGAGGAAUUCCUGGUGUAGCGGUGAAAUGCGUAGAUAUCAGGAGGAACACCAGUGGCGAAGGCGGCCUGCUGGACCGCAACUGACGUUGAGGCCCGAAAGCGUGGGGAGCAAACAGGAUUAGAUACCCGAGUAGUC